rnacentral:siRNA from 1 species
AGUGAUGAAACCAAUCUCCGUGCU